UUGACUCACGCAGGAAUCUUACCGGGUCCGGACACACUGAGGAUUGACAGAUACAGUGAAAAAAAUGAUAGCUCUUUCAUAAUUAUGUGAUAGGUGGUGCAUGGCCGUUCUUAGUUCGUGGAGUGAUCUGUCUGCUUAAUUGCGUUGGUAUAUAUAAUGCAUGUUAAUUGCAUUUUUACCAUGCAACGAACGUGACCGCAACCUCUUGUUGCACUAUAGCUUCUCAUGGUGCAAAACUAGAGGGACCGCUGUAUUUAUUUCUUUUAGCCAGAGGAAGGAUGCGGCAAUAACAGGUCUGUGAUGC
rnacentral:rRNA from 1 species